rnacentral:rRNA from 1 species
UACGGGGGGGGCAAGCGUUGUUCGGAAUUACUGGGCGUAAAGGGCUCGUAGGCGGCCCUCUCAGUCGGAUGUGAAAUCCCCAGGCUCAACUUGGGAACGGCAUCCGAUACUGGAGGGCUUGAAUUCGGGAGAGGGAUGCAGAAUUCCAGGUGUAGCGGUGAAAUGCGUAGAUAUCUGGAGGAAUACCGGUGGCGAAGGCGGCAUCCUGGACCGAGAUUGACGCUGAGGAGCGAAAGCUAGGGGAGCAAACAGG